rnacentral:sRNA from 1 species
ACGCGGCCACAUAACCGUCCAGGGGGCGGGGGACAGCGCGGUGAAAUGGGAAAGGGUUUAACUGGGGGAUCUAGGUGCUGGGGACACUGACAUUUUCGGACCCCGGCCGCAGCCCUGAGUCAGCUUCCCCGCUCCUCGCCCGCCCGGCUGCGCCUGCGCGGAGCCGCCUCACUAUCACUCAGCAAGCGCGCCGCCUGCGAGAAGCGACCGGACACUUCGAGAAGGGAAGUGGAGAGGCGAGGAGUGGGCGGGCCUGCGGGGCGCGGCGGGGCGGGAUUGGCUGGAUGGCUGGUGUCGUCUUCGGUGCGCGCCGGCGCCACUGGGCCGCGGCCUGGCGGGAUUGGCCGGUCUGCGGGUGACGUUGUCGGGGCGCGCCCGGAAACCCCAAGGCCCGGACGGCUCUCAGAUCCGGCGGCUGCGGAUAAAUGGCCGUAGGCCGCGGGCAGCGAGAUGUUGCGUUCCGGUGUGGGUGUGCCUUCGACGGCGUCUCGGUGCCAGUGUCGAGGUUCUUUCUGCUUAGCUACCCAGAGCCGACUACGGAGGAGGACACC